CAAAAACAUAGCUUAUUGAUUUUUUAUAAUAAGUUUUUUCUGCCCGGUGUGUAUUUUAACGGCCGCGGUAUCCUGACCGUGCAAAGGUAGCAUAAUCACUUGUCCUUUAAUUGGGGACUAGAAUGAAAGAAAUUUUGAAGCUCUCUCUGUCUCUUUUUUAAAUUUUUUAAUUUGCUGUCUUUGUGAAGAAGCAAAGGUGUCUGAAAAAGACAAGAAGACCCUAUUAAGCUUGAUCUUUUUAUUUUUAUUCAUUUUUAAAAUAAAAAUAAAAAGAUUUGGUUGGGGUGACUAAAGAAGAAUUGUGUAUCUUCUUUUCUUUGAAAAACUAUGUGUUUAAAAAUGACCCGGGACUUCCUGGUUAAAAGAAGUAGUUACUAUAGGGAUAACAGCGUAAUCUUUUCAUAAAGUUCUUAUUGAAGAAAAGGAUUGCGACCUCGAUGUUGACUUAUUUUAUCCUGUUAAGGUGUAGCAGCUGCAAGGGUUGGUCUGUUCGACCAUUAAAAAAG
rnacentral:rRNA from 1 species